GGAAGGCCUUGCAGGCACUCGAUAAACACUACUGAUUAAGCGAUUGGAUUUUGUGGCCACAACACCAAGGGCCGAUGUGGAUCUGUAGUUACAACGGCUUAUGAUGAAUGAUUCUUCCUUCCUCUUAGACCCACUACACUGGAAAGGACUCUGAACUCCUUGCAAUGAAUCUAAUCCCCUCAGGUAGACCACCUCUUUGAAAAAGAAACUUCACUUGCAGCAGAUACCGUGGCCUGCCCGAUGUUAUUGAUCAAAGGGACCUCACAGGCUGCAGUUUCCUCUGCCUUAAGGGUUACCACCUCUGAGAUUUCCAAAAUCUGCUGAGAAGCGGCUCAUUUGGACUUGAAAGCUCUUACCAGUGGCAAGGAGCGUUGCCUGUGCUGCACCAUUUGCUGAGGAAAGUGCUACCUGAUGUGCCUCAAGGCUAAAACCUUUCCACUUGAACCUGAGAAGAGUACCCUUUCAAAAUCCAUUUCCUUGAGGCUUCAUUAGAGGAUUUAAUGCAAUUUAACAAGUCUAACUUUGAAACUGUGGCCUAAUGGGAAGACCAUGAGACCGAGAGACAGGAGACCGGGGUUCUCUGCCACUGGUCUCCUACAUGACAGUGGCAGAUUGGAGGACCCACUGAAAAGUUUGCUUGCACAAGACUGUUACAGCUAAGUAAGUGAGUGAUGAGGUGAAGGGGUGAGAGAGAGGAGGGGAGGCAGAGAGGAGAACACUUGGAAAAAAAAAAUAACCUCCCACAAAGCCAAAUCAAACAGUCUCUCUUUUGAGCAGGAGAGGUUCUGAGGAGUCAUUUCUGCUCCGCUCGGCUAUUUUUGACCUUAAAAGUACUGUCUGCAGCUCAGUCCAGCUUCUGCUGCACAUAUUG